rnacentral:rRNA from 1 species
UACGUAGGGAGCAAGCGUUGUCCGGAAUCAUUGGGCGUAAAGCGCGCGUAGGUGGCUUCGUAAGUCCGUUGUGAAAGUCAAAGGCUCAACCUUUGAAUGCCGAUGGAUACUGCGGAGCUAGAGUACGGAAGAGGCGAGUGGAAUUCCUGGUGUAGCGGUGGAAUGCGCAGAUAUCAGGAGGAACACCAAUAGCGAAGGCAGCUCGCUGGGACGUACUGACACUAAGGCGCGAAAGCGUGGGGAGCGAACAGG